CCUACGGGGGGCAGCAGUAGGGAAUUUUCGUCAAUGGGCGCAAGCCUGAACGAGCAAUGCCGCGUGAACGAGGAAGGUCUUCGGAUCGUAAAGUUCUGUUGAAGGGGAAAAAGAGCGGAGAGAGGAAAUGGUCUCCGAUUGAUAUUACCCUUCGAGGAAGUCACGGCUAACUACGUGCCAGCAGCCGCGGUAAUACGUAGGUGGCGAGCGUUAUCCGGAAUGAUUGGGCGUAAAGGGAGCGUAGACGGUUCUGCAAGUCUGAAGUGAAAGCCCGUGGCUUAACCGCGGAACGGCUUUGGAAACUG
rnacentral:rRNA from 1 species